rnacentral:pre_miRNA from 1 species
UCCCUGAGACCCUUUAACCUGUGAGACGUGCGGGGUCACAGGUGAGGUUCUCGGGAGCC